CACGUAGGCACCAAGCGUUGUCCGGAUUUAUUGGGCGUAAAGAGCUCGUAGGCGGUUGAGUAAGUCGGGUGUGAAAACUCUGGGCUUAACCCAGAGCCGCCACUCGAUACUGCUCUGACUUGAGUACGGUAGGGGAGCAGGGAAUUCCUAGUGUAGCGGUGAAAUGCGCAGAUAUUAGGAGGAACACCGGUGGCGAAGGCGGCUCUCUGGGACGGUACUGACGCUGAGACGCGAAAGCGUGGGGAGCGAACAGG
rnacentral:rRNA from 1 species